rnacentral:rRNA from 1 species
GAUGAACGCUGGCGGCGUGCCUAAUACAUGCAAGUCGAGCGAACAGAUGAGGAGCUUGCUCCUCUGACGUUAGCGGCGGACGGGUGAGUAACACGUGGAUAACCUACCUAUAAGACUGGGAUAACUACGGGAAACCGGAGCUAAUACCGGAUAAUAUAUUGAACCGCAUGGUUCAAUAGUGAAAGACGGUUUUGCUGUCACUUAUAGAUGGAUCCGCGCCGCAUUAGCUAGUUGGUAAGGUAACGGCUUACCAAGGCAACGAUGCGUAGCCGACCUGAGAGGGUGAUCGGCCACACUGGAACUGAGAAACGGUCCAGACUCCUACGGGAGGCAGCAGUAGGGAAUCUUCCGCAAUGGGCGAAAGCCUGACGGAGCAACGCCGCGUGAGUGAUGAAGGUCUUCGGAUCGUAAAACUCUGUUAUUAGGGAAGAACAAAUGUGUAAGUAACUAUGCACGUCUUGACGGUACCUAAUCAGAAAGCCACGGCUAACUACGUG